CAGUCCGCAGACCAAUGCUCUAUCCACUGAGCCAAACUGGUUUCAGCUGAUUAAGUAAAAUUUAAGUGAAAAAAUGUUUUAAGCACUGAGACAGAGAUAUUUUGUGCCUUUGACAAAUUAUAUCAUGUGGUGGAAGAAUAUUUCUUAAUUAAGCACUUUACUGGUGAGAAAAGAUCUCACAAUAACUUUAUACCAAAUCAAGUACUGUAUUUCCACUUAUUAAAGCACAGUCUUCUGUUUGUAAACUAUAGCUGCCAGUAGAGAAUUGCUAUUCCAGGAGAAUUAAGCUUUCUAGUACUUUAGAAAUUUCUAACAUAUUAUGUACAUUCAGUAAUAAAGUUCUUUGCAUAUUUUGUGGUGUAUUACUGUGACUUUUUAAAGAUUAUAUAAAUCCUUCAAAAUUGAAGCUAGAGGAAAAAAAAGAGAUUAUAAGUAGAGUCCUAGUAUUAUUAUUAUUAUUAUUUGGAAAAUAUACACUAACUCCUGUUUUUUUGUUUAACUUUAAAACAUAGGUUGAAUUUUUGAGUGGGUUUUUUUUUAAGUAAUGGAGGAUAAACUGGGUGGGAGAAAAUGGCAUUUGGCAUCCGAAGAAAGAUAGAUGAAGGCAACAGUCUCUAAAUGUGAGCAUGGCCAUUGGGAAGCCAGUGUUGGGCAUUGAUGUCAGAUCCUGCAGAAUCACCUAGAAAGUCAACCUACAGACAAGGAGACUACACCAAACAAUAGAUUCCAGUACUCUGUCACAUGUGAAUUAUCAUGUAUUAUAAAUAAAAAAUGUUUACUUGAAUAAAUAAAAAGUCCACUUAACUAUCA